ensembl:lncRNA novel transcript
CCCUUCCUUAAAAUUGCUACAAGCCACUGAAGAGCAUCUUCCUUGUUCUAUGUGUCCAGCUUCAGUCUCGUCGCUGGACAUUUGGUUCCAGAUCUAAAGCAGCAGAGGGCAGUGGCCGUAUGUGGAGCUGUUAUUAACUGCAUCACCUUGUUGUGAGGAUCAAAUUUGAUGGUGUUUGUGAAGAGCUUUGCCCAGUGGCUGGCAGCCUGUGAUCAUGGCUCUGUAAAUGGAGGCUGCCAUCAUCAUAAUAUCAUUAUGAAGCCCCUGAUCUCA